rnacentral:rRNA from 1 species
UACGUAGGCCGCGAGCGUUGUUCGGAAUUACUGGGCGUAAAGAGUGUGUAGGCGGUGUUCCCAGUCUGUUGUGAAAUCUCCCGGCUUAACUGGGAGGGUGCAGCGGAAACUAGAAUGCUAGAGGGUGGGAGAGGUAAGCGGAAUUCCUGGUGUAGAGGUGAAAUUCGUAGAUAUUAGGAAGAACACCAGUGGCGAAGGCGGCUCACUGGCCCGGUACUGACGCUGAGGCGCGAAAGCGUGGGGAGCAAACAGG